rnacentral:rRNA from 1 species
ACCCGCUGAACUUAAGCAUAUCAAUAAGCGGAGGAAAAGAAACCAACAGGGAUUGCCCUAGUAACGGCGAGUGAAGCGGCAACAGCUCAAAUUUGAAAUCUGGCUCUUUCAGAGUCCGAGUUGUAAUUUGCAGAGGGCGCUUUGGUGUUGGCAGCGGUCCAAGUUCUUUGGAACAGGACGUCACAGAGGGUGAGAAUCCCGUACGUGGUCGCUAGCCCUCACCGUGUAAAGCCCCUUCGACGAGUCGAGUUGUUUGGGAAUGCAGCUCUAAAUGGGAGGUAAAUUUCUUCUAAAGCUAAAUACUGGCCAGAGACCGAUAGCGCACAAGUAGAGUGAUCGAAAGAUGAAAAGCACUUUGGAAAGAGAGUUAAAAAGCACGUGAAAUUGUUGAAAGGGAAGCGCUUGCAGCCAGACUUGCCUGUAGUUGCUCAUCCGGGUUUUUACCCGGUGCACUCUUCUAUAGGCAGGCCAGCAUCAGUUUGGGCGGUUGGAUAAAGGUCUCUGUCAUGUACCUCUCUUCGGGGAGAACUUAUAGGGGAGACGACAUGCAACCAGCCCGGACUGAGGUCCGCGCAUCUGCUAGGAUGCUGGCGUAAUGGCUGU